rnacentral:rRNA from 1 species
UCCUACGGGGGGCAGCAGUGGGGAAUAUUGCACAAUGGGCGAAAGCCUGAUGCAGCAACGCCGCGUGAAGGAAGAAGGCCUUCGGGUCGUAAACUUCUGUCCUUUGGGAAGAAAAAAGACAGUACCUGUAGAAUAAGCUCCGGCUAACUACGUGCCAGCAGCCGCGGUAAUACGUAGGGAGCAAGCGUUAUCAGGAUCUAUUGGGUGUAAAGGGUGCGUAGACGGGGAUGCAAGUUGGUUGUGAAAUCCCUCGGCUUAACUGAGGAACUGCAACCAAAACUACAUUUCUUGAGUGCUGGAGAGGA